rnacentral:misc_RNA from 1 species
AAACCCAUAGCUAACAACUUCACACCUGUAAUUCAUAAACAAAGUCCCUAAUGUGUUGAAAUAAUCAUGAAGGUGAUGAAUUAAAGCCUCAUUCACAUAGUUCUAGUAAAUGGGACAGCAGGAGGAUGAUCUGCAGGGCAUCUUUGCCUCCUCGGACGUCUAGUUGUCUUGCCCCCCCACCCUGUAAGGCUUUUGUCCUCCAAACUGGAUACAAUGUUACUCAAAUUCUGCUUUAGAGGAGGGCUUAAUCGGGUUGACACAGUGACAGGGGUGGUCUCAAUCACCAUCCUCCGCCUUCCCCUCGUACCUCCAUUCCUUCUCUUCGAUCCUGAGUUCCAAGAAUGACCUGUAGCUCUCAUCAACUCUCCGAAGGUCUGAAUGUCUUCAGUCACUUCAUGCCUUGACAGGGAAACUAGUCCGGGAAGGAUAUCCCUUUGAAAGUCCCUCCGCUGUCUUCCCCACCUUCCUUGUCCUCUUCUGGUUCGAUUUGUUAGUGAAGUGGCUCCUGCAUCUUCCACUGGUUGGACUUCAGGAACAAAAGGCUUGGGCAGGUAGUCUUGUUCCUUAGUCUCUUCUAGCUGCAAUGUCAUUGCCUCAAAGUAAUCCAUCUCCAAGUUAGUAGUAGGUCGCGCAACAAUCAUAGCGUCCUCGACUAUUAUUUCUUUAGACUUGCUCUCAAGUUCACUCUCAAAAGAAAUGACUAUGCCAACAAACCAACCUAGGGAUCCCAGAGGAUCAUCAGAUGGAUCACCGGAGAUGGUGUCUAUUUGACUGGAUGAUGAAAUGGCAACUAUAGCUUCCGCUGCGACCCUGACAACUUCAUCCUGUAUUUCCUCAGGUUUGUGUUCAGGCAACUGCAAAGAUGCUUCAUUUUGUUUGCCAUUUUCUUUAGACAAAUUGUCUAGCUCAGUUUCCAGAACAGGAGGAGCUUCCAAAUCUAUCUCGACGACAGUUCUCACAUUGACAUUAUCGCUUUCGACAAAGAAUGAAUCAUCAUCUUCAGUAAUACAUGAGUUCAAAUCGAAGGGAUUUCUGAUAAUGGUAGCUUUUGUUUCCAUUGCUGUCUCAGCAACAACUGCUUCCAUGACAACCUGUUUCUCGGGCUCAACCAUAGAAA